rnacentral:rRNA from 1 species
AUUGAACGCUGGCGGCAGGCCUAACACAUGCAAGUCGAGCGAGCGGCGGACGGGUGAGUAAUGUCUGGGAACCUGCCUGAUGGCGGGGGAUAACUACUGGAAACGGUAGCUAAUACCGCAUACCAUCCGAUUUGCCCAGAUGGGAUUAGCUAGUAGGUGGGGUAACGGCUCACCUAGGCGUCGAUCCCUAGCUGGUCUGAGAGGAUGACCAGCCACACGGGAACUGAGACACGGUCCUGACUCCUACGGGCGGCAGCAGUGGGGAAUAUUGCACAAUGGGCACAAUCCUAAUGCAGCCAUGCCGCGUGUGGGAAGAAGGCCUUCGGGUUGUAAAGCACUUUCAGCGGGGAGGCGUUACCCGCAGAAGAAGCACCGGCUAACUCCGUGCCAGCAGCCGCGGUAAUUC